CCCUUAGAUGUUCUGGGCUGCACGCGCGCUACACUGAUGCGCUCAACGAGUUUACGAACUUGCCCGGAAGGGUUGGUUAAUCUUUUUAAAACGCAUCGUGAUGGGGAUAGAUUAUUGCAAUUAUUAAUCUUCAACGAGGAAUUCCUAGUAGGUGCAAAUCAUCAGUUUGCAUCGAUUACGUCCCUGCCCUUUGUACACACCGCCCGUCGCUGCUACCGAUUGAGUGUCCUGGUGAAUUAUUCGGACCGGCAGUAAUUCGAGUUUCUCGGACUACAGCUGGAAAGUCUUGUAAACCCUGACACUUAGAGGAAGCAGAAGUCGUAACA
rnacentral:rRNA from 1 species